UCUUCCGCAAUGGACGAAAGUCUGACGGAGCAACGCCGCGUGAGUGAUGAAGGUUUUCGGACCGUAAAGCUCUUUUGUUAGGGAAGAACAAGUGCCGUUCAAAUAGGGCGGCACCUUGACGGUACCUAACCAGAAAGCCACGGCUAACUACGUGCCAGCAGCCGCGGUAAUACGUAGGUGGCAAGCGUUGUCCGGAAUUAUUGGGCGUAAAGGGAUCGCAGGCGGUGUCUGAAGUCAGAUGUGAAAGCCCCCGGCUCAACCGGGGAGGGUCAUUGGAAACUGGGGAACUUGAGUGCAGAAGAGGAGAGUGGAAUUCCACGUGUAGCGGUGAAAUGCGUAGAGAUGUUGAGGAACACCAGUGGCGAAGGCGACUCUCUGGUCUGUAACUGACGCUGAGGAGCGAAAGCGUGGGGAGCGAACAG
rnacentral:rRNA from 1 species